UAGGGGGUCUGAGAGGAGACCCCCCACAUUGGACUGAGACACGGCCAAACUCCUACGGAAGGCAGCAG
rnacentral:rRNA from 1 species